rnacentral:rRNA from 1 species
CACGUAGGCGGACCAUUAAGUUGGGGUGAAAUCCCGGGGCUCAACCCCGGAACUGCCUUCAAAACUGCUGGUCUUGAGGUCGAGAGAGGUGAGUGGAAUUCCGAGUGUAGAGGUGAAAUUCGUAGAUAUUCGGAGGAACACCAGUGGCGAAGGCGGCUCACUGGCUCGAAUCUGACGCUGAGGUGCGAAAGCGUGGGGAGCAAACA